rnacentral:lncRNA from 1 species
AUGGGGGGGGGAACAGCUUUAUUGGAGUGUGGUGGGGGUCUGGGGAGGGGUCUCGGGGCACCCUGGGGUGCAGAGCACGUCACCAGCACAGCUGGUGGCACCUGUGUUGUGGUGGUCCUUGAGCUUGCUGGUGGCCCAGGGAAGGCUGUGGGAGACGGCGGUGGCAUGUCAUGGUCCCCGUGUCCCCUCUGGCCCUGGCAAUGUCCUCUCUGUCCCCAGGCCCUGGCCGGGUGCCCUCUGUCACCAUCCCCUCCAUGUCCUGUGGCCCUGGCAGUGUCCCCAGUGUGUCCCCAAGCCCUGGCCACUCCUCUGUCCCGAGCCCAGGGCCACCUCUGUGCCAUCUCUCCAGCUGGGUCACAUGUCCCUGUCCCCAGCCCCUUCGGCCCCAUCAUGGUGCCCCCCACCACCACGCUCUUCCUCCCGCCGCGUCCCCGGUCCCACGGCCAUCGUCCCCCCACGCAAAGCUCGGCACCGCGGGGGCCACACGGAAGGUUUAUUUACAACGGGCAUCGCUCACCGCGCGCCUGGGGACACCCGGCGGGGCCACCCCGGGGUGGGGAGCAGCUCAGCCCCCCCCCCCUUUUUCCAAGGGCUCCAAGGGCCCGGAAUCCUCUGCCGGGAGGGGCCGGGGGGUUACGUGCGGGUGUCCAGGUUGUUCAUGUACUCCUGCAGCGCCUGCAGCCGGGCGUCGAUCUCCGACAGGUCGGCCGCCGGCUCCUCGUACAGGUUCUCUGCGGGAGAUGGAGGAAGCGGAUCGGCAAAGAGCCUCCCGGGGGGGGGGGGGAGCUCGCGCGGUGCCGAAACGGCCCCCGUCCCGGCCUCACCUUUCCCCGCGCGCCGGUCCGAGCCGGGUGUGCCAGCCGAGUGCUUCCUGUGCCCGGCGGGCGCCCGAGGAGCCUGGAAAGGGAUGCGGGAGGUGAGCGGCGCCCGGCGGGAAGCGGAGAGGGGGCCCAGGAGUCCCCCCCACCCCUCUUCCCGCUCCUCGCGGCACCGGAGAGCCGCUCACCGAGCUGGGGCCGUUCCAGGACGAGGAGCUCAAGGGUUUCCUGCCCCGCGCCGCUCUCCUCCUGCCCCUGCGGGAAAGAGGGAAGCGCGGCUCAGUCCUCCCGCCGGCUCGGGAGGGGGGCCCAGGCGUCCGGCCCUCCGCCGCGCUCGUUACCUGAGGGGCACGGGCUCCGAGUACUCAUCCGCCUCGCUGCCCGAGCUCAGCGCCGAGCGCCGGCUCCGGAUACUUUCCGCUGCGGAGAGAGAGGGGGCAGGAGCUCAGGGGACGAGCGGCGGCCGGGUGCCCCCGUUCGCCGUGGGUCGCGCGGCACCCGGAGGGGGGCCACGGCACCCGGCGACUCACCCGACGAGCUGCGCCCGCGGCUCCUCCCCGGGCUGUCGCCGCCGCCACAAGCCGAAACGCCGCCGGCCCCUCGCCGCGGCCGCCGCUGGCUGCACCCGAGGGAGACGGCAGUGAGGGGGGGGGGCCCCGGAAGCUCUUCCGCGUCGCGGAGCGGGCGGUCGAGAGGCUCGGGGGGCGGUUGCGGCUCGGAAACGGGGCAGAACGGAGGAUUUGGGGGCCGCCUCCGAGCACCGUGA